ensembl:snRNA U6 U6 spliceosomal RNA
GCUCUCUCCAACAGCCAUAUACUAAAAUUGGAAUGGUAACAGAAGAGUGUUAGCAUGGCCCCCACGCAAGGACGACACGCGCAUUUGUGAAGCGUUCCAUGUUUUU